rnacentral:rRNA from 1 species
GAUGAACGCUGGCGGCGUGCCUAACACAUGCAAGUCGAACGAGAAGUCAAGACGGAAACCCUCGGGCGGAUGGCGUUAUUCCGAGUGGUGGACGGUUGAUUAACGCCUGGUUAACCUGGCUCAUACACGGGGAUAACAGUUGGAUACGACUGCUUAUACCGCAUAAGACCACACCACCGCACGGCGCGGCUUUAACGACUCCGGUAGCAUGAGACGGACCGGCGUCGGAUUAGCGAGUUGGCACGGCAACGGCCCACCAAGGCGACGAUCCGUAGCCGGUCUGAGAGGAUGAUCGGCCACACUGGAACUGAGGCACGGUCCAGACUCCUACGGGAGGCAGCAGUGGGGAAUAUUGGACAAUGGGCGAAAGCCUGACGGAGCAAUACCGCGUGAGUGAAGAAGGCCUUCGGGUCGUAAAGCCCUGUUGUUGGGAAAGAAAAAAAGCAGAUGAAACCACGGAUGUCCUGACGGUACCUAAAGAAUAAGCAACGGCUAACUUCGUG